rnacentral:rRNA from 1 species
GAUGAACGCUGGCGGCGUGCCUAAUACAUGCAAGUCGAGCGAACAGACGAGGAGCUUGCUCCUCUGACGUUAGCGGCGGACGGGUGAGUAACACGUGGAUAACCUACCUAUAAGACUGGGAUAACUUCGGGAAACCGGAGCUAAUACCGGAUAAUAUAUUGAACCGCAUGGUUCAAUAGUGAAAGACGGUUUUGCUGUCACUUAUAGAUGGAUCCGCGCUGCAUUAGCUAGUUGGUAAGGUAACGGCUUACCAAGGCAACGAUGCGUAGCCGACCUGAGAGGGUGAUCGGACAAACUGGAACUGAAACACGGUCCAGACUCCUACGGGAGGAAGCAGUAGGGAAUCUUCCGCAAUGGGCGAGAGCCUGACGGAGCAACGCCGCGUGAGUGAUGAAGGACUUCGGAUCGUAAAACUCUGUUAUUAGGGAAGAACAAAUGUGUAAGUAACUGUGCACGUCUUGACGGUACCUAAUCAGAAAGCCACGGCUAACUACGUG